rnacentral:rRNA from 1 species
UACAGAGGUCUCAAGCGUUGUUCGGAUUCAUUGGGCGUAAAGGGCGCGUAGGCGGCGGGGUAAGUCGGGUGUGAAAUCUCAGAGCUCAACUCUGAAACUGCACUCGAUACUGCUCUGCUUGAGGACUGGAGAGGAGACUGGAAAUUCACGGUGUAGCAGUGAAAUGCGUAGAUAUCGUGAGGAAGACCAGUGGCGAAGGCGGGUCUCUGGACAGUUCCUGACGCUGAGGCGCGAAGGCCAGGGGAGCAAACGGG